GGCAGUUCUAUUUCGCCGGGGCAGAACACCUCCGUUGCCCGAAAGCCUCAAGCUAAACUUAAGGGCACGCAAGCGCUCACUUGAAGACCAAGAGAACGUUAUGUAACGUUGCUAUGUUUGAGCUGAGUACAGGUGAUCGAUCUCCUUUGUCUAGUAUGCAAAAACAUAUUGGACACAGUAAAUCAGUAAUAUAGUUCUUCUCUGUGCAGCUAUUUUAGUCUGCGAUAGAUCUUACAUGUA
rnacentral:misc_RNA from 1 species